rnacentral:rRNA from 1 species
GUAAUCGCGGAUCAGCAUGCCGCGGUGAAUACGUUCCCGGGCCUUGUACACACCGCCCGUCACACCAUGGGAGCCGGUAAUACCCGAAGUCAGUAGUCCAACCUCGUGAGGACGCUGCCGAAGGUAGGAUUGGCGACUGGGGUGAAGUCGUAACAAGGUAGC